GUCUAUGGCUAUGCCACCCUGAACACACCUGAUCUAGUCUGAUCUCAGAAGCUAAGCAGGGUCGGGCCUGGUUAGUACUUGCAUGGGAGACCACCUAGGAAGACCAGUGCUGUAGGCG
rnacentral:rRNA from 1 species